rnacentral:lncRNA from 1 species
CCGGUGCUUAAACACAAUGCAAAAAGAAAUUUGCAGUAUAAUUCAUAUUUAAGAAAAUUGAAUCUGAUUGAAUUUUCAUUUGUGUCAUUUGUCAUUUGGUCAUUUAUAUUAAAUCAAACAUUUAAACUGAAUUACUAUAUUCAAUGUUUGUAAUUUAUCGUUGUGUCCAUGUGUCCGGACACAAAAUGCAUGUCAACUAUAUUUUGCACCGAAACCUUGCCACUAAUGAAAUAAAUGAUGUUUGACAAGUUAUUUGGAAAGGAACAUGACGGUUUUAAUGCAAUAAAUGGAUUAAACAUUUACUGGAGGCAACUUUUAUCACGUUUAAAUGAAGCAACAAACUUAUUUUGCCGCCGAAAUUUAGGUUGAUGUACGUUUUCGAGUAACAAGCACCGGAACUUGCGAAAAUGCACGAAGUGAUAAAAAGUUGUAUUUUUAUCAAAUAACCUGCUACACACUGCGAAGACAAUGCUUCAACCUCUUUUCUAAAGAUAAUGAAUCGUUUAUGUCUGAAUUUCUUUAAUUAUCAGUAAAAAAUUGAUGUUUCAUCAACUUAGUAAAAGUUGAAAAUGUCAGAUGACGGAAGCGACUGAAAGCGACUAUCGUCAAGAACAGGGCGACUUGUUUUCGCUUUUGGGGGUCGGGGAAAGCGAAGUGACGGUCGGGAAGGCGACUUCUUCGCCCAAGUCGCCUGGUAGCGUGAGCCCUGAAAUCUUGGUAUCUGAA